GAUGAACGCUGGCGGCGUGCCUAAUACAUGCAAGUCGAGCGCACAGACGAGGAGCUUGCUCCUCUGACGUUAGCGGCGGACGGGUGAGUAACACGUGGAUAACCUACCUAUAAGACUGGGAUAACUUCGGGAAACCGGAGCUAAUACCGGAUAAUAUAUUGAACCGCAUGGUUCAAUAGUGAAAGACGGUUUUGCUGUACCUAAUAGAUGGAUCCGCGUCGCAUUAGCUAGUUGGUAAGGUAACGGCUUACCAAGGCAACGAUGCGUAGCCGACCUGAGAGGGUGAUCGGCCACACUGGAACUGAGACACGGCCCAGACUCCUACGGGAGGCAGCAGUAGGGAAUCUUCGGCAAUGGGCGAAAGCUUGACGGAGCAACGCCGCGUGAGUGAUGAAGGUCUUCGGAUCGUAAAACUCUGUUAGUAGGGAAGAACAAAUGUGUAAGUAACUAGGCACGUCUGGACGGUACCUAAUCAGAAAGCCACGGCUAACUACGUG
rnacentral:rRNA from 1 species